rnacentral:rRNA from 1 species
GAUGAACGCUGGCGGCGUGCCUAAUACAUGCAAGUCGAGCGACCAGACAGUGAGCUUUCUCCCCUGACGUUAGCGGCGGGCGGGUGGGUAACACGUGGAUCACCUACCUAUAAUACUGGGGGAACUUCGGGGGAACGCUGCCAAUAACGGCUCAUAUAUCCUACCGCAUGGUUCAAUAGUGCAUGACGGUUUUGCUGUCACAUAUAGCUGGUUCCGGGCCGCAUUAGCUAGUUGGUAAGGUAACGGCCUACCAAGGCGACGAUGCGUAGCCGACCUGAGAGGGUGAUCAGCCACACUGGAACUGAGACACGGUCCAGACUCCUACGGGAGGCAGCAGUAGGGAAUCUUGCGCAAUGGGCGAAAGCUUGACGCAGCCAUGCCGCGUGAGUGAAGAAGGUCUUCGGAUCGUAAAGCUCUGUUAUUAGGAAAGAAAAACAGUGGAAGAAUCCAUGGCCGUCUUGACGGUACCUAAAGAGAAAGCCACGGCUAACUUCGUG